AGUGAACGCUGGCGGUAGGCCUACCACUGCAAAGCGAACCGGAGGACAGUUAAAGGCUUGCUCUACGGGUGGCGAGGGGGGGGACGGGGGGGGAUACAAUGGGAAUCUCCUUUUUGUGGGGGGAUACGGAGGGAAACCUUAGGCUAUACCGCCUAACACCCUACGGGUAAAACCAGGGAAUCUCCGAACCUUCCGGACUUGAAUGAGCGGAUGUCGGAUUAGCUAGUUGGCGGGGUAAAGGCCCACCAAGGCGACGAUCCGUAGCUGGUCUGAGAGGAUGAUCAGCCACACUGGAACUGAGACACGGUCCAGACUCCUACGGGAGGCAGCAGUGGGGAAUAUUGGACAAUGGGCGCAAGCCUGAUCCAGCCAUACCGCGUGGGUGAAGAAGGCCUUCGGGUUGUAAAGCCCUUUUGUUGGGAAAGAAAAGCAGCAGGUUAAUACCCCGCUGUUCUGACGGUACCCAAAGAAUAAGCACCGGCUAACUUCGUG
rnacentral:rRNA from 1 species